rnacentral:rRNA from 1 species
CCCUUAGACGUUCUGGGCUGCACGCGCGCUACACUGAUGCACUCAACGAGUUUACGAGCUUGUCCGAGAGGAUUGGCUAAUCUUUUUAAAACGCAUCGUGAUGGGGAUAGAUUAUUGCAAUUAUUAAUCUUCAACGAGGAAUUCCUAGUAAGCGCGAGUCAUCAGCUCGUGCUGAUUACGUCCCUGCCCUUUGUACACACCGCCCGUCGCUCCUACCGAUUGAGUGCUCAGGUGAAUAAUUCGGACUGCAGCAGUGUUUGGAUCCCGAACGCUGCAGCGGAAAGUUUAGUGAACCUUNUNACUUAGNGGAAGGAGAANUCGUANCA